CAUCCCCUUAGACACACACCAUUGCCUGACAGGCAUGCAGCCCCAUUUGUGCAGGCGCAACUAUUAGUGGUGCAAAAUAGCACCUGGGAUGUGCGCACGCUCGGCCUGCUCACGAGCUGACCGCUGCAACACUGCGGCCACAGGCCCGUGGGCAAUCGGAAAAUUAAACAUAAAACCCGAAACACAAUUCCCCAUCGUGGGAGGAGUGGUUUAGGAGGAGCAAAAACUAUUUUUGGACGGCUUUGUCCAGGGGCUUUUGCGUUCGGCUGUGGAUCAAACAUUCCAAUCUGUGCACACACAGCCGACGUAGAGGAGGUUGAUAUAUCAGCGCACGACUGUGUGCGUGAGUGUGCAUCACAAGAGUUGUAGAUGGGUAGAUUGAUGGCAGUCUGCGCAGUAUACAGUCCCAGCGAUCAUGGUCGUCUUUGGUGUUGGAGAGCAAGCGUAUACGCUAGGUGCCCCGUCUCGAAUUGACGUCCACUCCAAUUAUGGAGAGGGAACAUCAUGACACUUUUUUUCAGAAUGGCUUGCACAGGUUGAUUGGAGCUCGGCAGGCAAGAUAACACACAUUUAUGAGCCACCACGCAUCUUAGCACAUUGAAUUGCUGGCUCUGGAUGCACACACACACACAGUAGACUGCAUAUCAGUGUUAGAGUACUACCGUACGUACCGUGCAUUGCUCACACCAAGCACAUCAAGCACACAAUCAAAGAAUGAAACGUAAUCAAACAAAACAGCACAGUCCAGGCCCAAAAACAUUCGCUUGCUUUCCCAUACCAAGUUAGGAUUAGGUUCACGCGUAAUCUCGCUUUCUAUCUCUCUCUACCUCUAUGUCUCUCUAUCUAUCUCUCUCUCUCUCUCUCUUCCUGUCUAUUUCUCUAUCUUUCUUUCUCCUCUUUACUUCGUCCCUGCCCUUGACUAGGUGUACAGAUAAUCUGUCAACACACUCACAGCAGGCACUUCGCACGGGGAUGCGGUUAAUCGAAAACAGGACGAUUCUCCUUGGCACACUUUGACCACCGAACACGUAAGCACACACACACACACAACGGAAAGCGAACAAACGAA